UACGUAGGGGGCAAGCGUUGUCCGGAUUUACUGGGCGUAAAGGGCGCGUAGGCGGCCUUCUAAGUCGAACGUGAAAUCCCCGGGCUCAACCCGGGAACUGCGUCCGAUACUGGAAGGCUUGAAUCCGGGAGAGGGAUGUGGAAUUCCAGGUGUAGCGGUGAAAUGCGUAGAUAUCUGGAGGAACACCGGUGGCGAAGGCGACAUCCUGGACCGGUAUUGACGCUGAGGCGCGAAAGCCAGGGGAGCAAAGCGGG
rnacentral:rRNA from 1 species